AAGCUACACCCUGCAAAGUCGCUUUGUAAAAUCUGUGCUCUGGGUUGACAGCUGAUGUUCUCCAAGCUGGGCUUCGCCUGACAGAUAGGUUAAGAGAAGACUCAGACUCCCAGCCUGACAUCCAGAGGUCUUCAAAGCUCCGAGGUGGGCCCGACGGUAGCCUUGGGAGAACGGGGCUCCCUAUUGCAGAUCUGCUCUGUUCAGCACAAGAGGCCCUCCACACGAGCCAGCCCCCAGCUACACUCUCAGAGCUGCCUUCAGAAGUGGCCUGAAGGAGAGAGCCCUGCUCAGCAAGUCAGUGAUGAGUGGAAGGGGCCCGACGGGGACGGGCCUGAGGAGUGGAGUGCAACCAGAGAAGGAGAGGUGUGCCUUCGCCAUGCCAAACAGAAGGCAGGAGCUGGCUGUCUACACCAAACAUCCUGAGAGCUGCCCCGGACAGGACGAGAAGGACAGGUCGGUCUUGGGUGAAAGCAGAGAGACCCAACAUUGAGGCUGAAGGACUAGAGGACUCUGGGCCUCAGUCUGCUCAUCUGUAGAACAAGGAGGUUGGGCUAGAUGGGCUCUCUCCUCCAAGUGCCGUGUAACCGUCUCAAGAGUGUCCAAGGCUGCCGUCCAACUCAGGAUACCUGAAGCUGAGUGCUCCUGGAAGAGGGACAGAGGUGCAGCUCCACAGUCCUGUGCAGUCUGGUUGGGAAGAACACUCUGCCCCCAAAUUCACUGACCAAGCUGUGCGCACUCGAGCAGAUUCUCCAUUUCCCUGACUUUCCAGCAGCCCCCAGGCCCUCUAGUCCUGAGACACGCCUACUCGUCCCCUUUCUUUGACCUACUCUCCAGGUUGUUUCCAUGUAUUGCAGAACCCCGAGAUCUCACCCCUUUUUGGAAAGAAUCUGUGUCGUGACAUUUUUGAGAAUUCUGGAAUUUUGAUUUCUUUAGAAAAAACAAAAAAACAAAA